GACGAACGCUGGCGGCGUGCUUAACACAUGCAAGUCGAACGGAAAGGCCCUGCUUUUGUGGGGUGCUCGAGUGGCGAACGGGUGAGUAACACGUGAGUAACCUGCCCUUGACUUUGGGAUAACUUCAGGAAACUGGGGCUAAUACCGGAUAGGAGCUCCUGCUGCAUGGUGGGGGUUGGAAAGUUUCGGCGGUUGGGGAUGGACUCGCGGCUUAUCAGCUUGUUGGUGGGGUAGUGGCUUACCAAGGCUUUGACGGGUAGCCGGCCUGAGAGGGUGACCGGCCACAUUGGGACUGAGAUACGGCCCAGACUCCUACGGGAGGCAGCAGUGGGGAAUAUUGCACAAUGGGCGGAAGCCUGAUGCAGCAACGCCGCGUGCGGGAUGACGGCCUUCGGGUUGUAAACCGCUUUCGCCUGUGACGAAGCGUGAGGGACGGUAAUGGGUGAAGAAGCACCGGCGAACUACGU
rnacentral:rRNA from 1 species